ensembl:lncRNA novel transcript
ACUGAUUCCUGCUAAACUUGCAUCAUCUGAUGGCCUGUGCAUCCAAAGAACUGAGGUUAUUUUUAGGAAGAAAGAACAGUGCUCUGCUGUAUACAGUGAGGAGCAAGGAAAGCACGUCCCACACACAGACCCACAGAUAAAUGGGUGUGGAGAGAAAAAUAGUUAUUUAGAGAUGAUAGCCAGGUUUCAGUUAAAACUAGAAGAAUGGCUCUGUGAGACAGGCCCUCCACUCUCCUGUAGAUCCUGUUGUAAGUGAUGCAGAAGCCAGAGAGAAGGUUGCUCUCCAUCGGAAACAUGAGGAGUUUCGGAGACCUCCCUAAAAUAUUUGGCCUGAAAGGGUUUGAAGCCAGGAGGAGAGAUGCAGUCUUAGGAGAAACGUUUCAUGAGCUGUAGCAGGUACCCUAUCAGUCUUUCUCAGAAUAAAGAAGCCUAUAUUCAUAAGAAUGCUGAUUCUUAAAGGGCUAGAAAGGCCAGUUGAAGAAGGCCAGUCUGUAGAGAUGCCUGGGAAUUCUUUGAUCUUUUUGGAGGCUAAAGGAAGUAAAAUUCUGCUAUGGAAAUUGUCCUAUUAUAUUUCUGCUUUCAAGAAGUGGCUACAAGAUUAUGAGGUUUUGCAAUGUUGCCCUCCUAGUCCUGUGUACAUUGCUGUAAAGACUCCCAGGCAUGGAGGCCAUCACUGGCACUGUUCCUCUCAGCAGUUAUUUGGGUGUGAAGUUCCUCACUCCUGCAAGACUCAGCCUGAAGGAGCAUGUCUACAUGACCCACCUGCACAAUCUCCCCACUUGUCAGUAACAGCUGUGAAAUCUGCCCCUGUUGUCUUUAGAAACUGAAAGAUGGAAAAGAUCUCAGAUGCUGUGACCCCCAUGUAACAGAUGGAGGAAUUGAAUCCAAGAGAUGAAGUGACCACUUUGCCUAAAAUCAAAUAGCCAUGUAGCAGCCGAGCUAAAACAAACAUUCAGUCCUCCUGAAUCCUAACUCAGUGAUUUUCUCUUAAUAUCAUAUAAUAACAUCCAUUGUUUUCCUGAGUCUCCCCUAUCAUUUUACUAUUCUUCUUGAUCCAUUCAUAUUAGUUUUUUUUUCUUUUUUGGAUUAAAGGUGACCUUAAUCAAAAUUUGAUAUUUACAUAAGUAUGAUAUAAAAUAACUUAUAUCUAUAUUUAAUAAUUUCUUAUUUUAGUUGAUGCUUUCAAAAACUGCCAGAAAACAGAUUUUUUUGCCACAAGCAGUUACAGUUUCAUCUUCAUAUUCCCUCUCUUAACAUGCUGAAAAAUUAAGCAUACAUAGAAAUGCUAAUUAGAGUUGUCUUCCUUGUCAAUGCUGUGAUUUAUAUUUGACCUGUUUCCUAUCAGAUUUGCCACAAGCUAGAAUCUUCUGAGGAUUUCUGCUUCAUAUAUAUUCUCUACCAUUCGGCAGACACUAAUAAAGAGUGUCAAAAUCCUGGCAAGAAAAUGUUUCUUAAAGUCAUAGCUGAUGCUAGACACUAAGUAAGUCAAGUUUCCUAUUCCAUAGUGAAAAAGAAAAAAAGCUUUUACGUCUAAAUUCAGUUUCAGUAAAAGGGAAAGCCUUAUAUCCAGGUCAAGAUCCAAUCCACUAAGAUUUGAAUCUAUUGAGAUAUUAUAUCUUAGAAUUCAGAGCUUAGCAUGCUUAAUAUUUAGAAACAUGUUAAAAAGUUAAAAGUGCUGCACAGUUAGAAUGACUUCACUGCAAAGGUGAAUAUUUUCAAAGGAUUCUGAUUCCAUUUUGACAGCUUUCUUUACUUGACACUCAUAGGCCCCACACUUACUAAAGGGCUGAGUUGGUACCACAGCACUGAAAGGUACAUCCUUUGGUUAUUAAAAGGAGUAUGAUGAAAAGUGUUACUUGGGAACAUGUGGGACUUCCUCUUGAUUGAUUAAAAAAAUACUGUUUUCCUCCCUCACUGAUAAUCUCACUCCAUGUUGCCAAUAUUAUAGCAGUUUUCUGUAUGAUUUCUUACUUGAAAACGCUAUGGUAGAAGUGAGAGUCUGAGUUUUUUUCCUGGCUCACUCUUAAAUGUAUCCCCAAUAUCUCUUUCAUUUUCUAAACUGGGGAGGAAAUUAGGACCCCAGCUUCCAACUAUCUUAACUGUAUUCAGUAAAACUUUUUUUCUACUUAAAAAAUUAUCUAAGUUAACUGGAAUUGGAAAUGUUUAAAAAAAUUGAAAAUAGAAUCUUAAAUAAAUUUAGAAAGAUCUCACUUUAUCAUUAAGAAUACUAACUAUAAAUGUGAUCAAUAAACAUUUUUUAUUAAACACCAAAUAAUUAUAAGCAUUGGUUUAUAAUUUUACAUGGCUCAAGCAAAAUGAAAAUUUUUAAAUAAGAUACAGAAUAUUUCAAAUUUUCUCUUUCAUUUUCUGCAAGGUAUCUAGUCCUAAUUUGGGAAAGCCAGAAACUUUCUGUAAAGUUAUAGAGAAACUUUUUAAGUGUCCAGUGCCACUAAAUUUUAGCAUAGACAUGUGCGCUGAAAAAAAUCUAGAGUUAUACCCAAGAAAAUGUUUUUGUGCUAAAGUUUAAAUUACAGAGAGUAGAACUCUUCAUCUGAGGUUUUUCACUGCCUUAAGAGAUUGAGAGGGAUUCAAUGCUGCCACGUGAGCCAGCCACACAAGCGAACACUCCUACAACAGAGGAUGCAGCAGUAAGGCAACUUCUUGGAAGCCAAGAUGGAGCCCUUACCAGACAUCAAACCUGCUGGUGCCUUGAUCUUGGACUUCACCUCCAGAACU